rnacentral:rRNA from 1 species
UACGUAGGUGACAAGCGUUGUCCGGAUUUACUGGGCGUAAAGAGCGCGCAGGCGGUCGAUCAAGUCGAGUGUGAAAGCCCCCGGCUCAACUGGGGAGGGUCACUCGAUACUGAUCGACUCGAAGGCAGGAGAGGGUAGUGGAAUUCCCGGUGUAGUGGUGAAAUGCGUAGAUAUCGGGAGGAACACCAGUGGCGAAGGCGACUACCUGGCCUGUUCUUGACGCUGAGGCGCGAAAGCUAGGGGAGCAAACGGG